GUUGCUACAUUCAGUUAGGGCACUCUAAUGAGGACUGCCGGUGACAAACCGGAGGAAGGUGGGGAUGACGUCAAGUCCUCAUGGCCCUUAUAGGUGGGGCUACACACGUCAUACAAUGGAUGGUACAAAGGGUCGCCAACCCGCGAGGGGGAGCCAAUCCCAUAAAGCCGGUCGUAGUCCGGAUCGCAGUCUGCAACUCGACUGCGUGAAGUCGGAAUCGCUAGUAAUCGUGGAUCAGCAUGUCACGGUGAAUACGUUCCCGGGUCUU
rnacentral:rRNA from 1 species